GGUGAAGUGGUGUAGUGGUUUUUGCAUUGAACUGUGACUCUGAAGAUCAAGGUUCAAUUUCCUGCUUGGCCA